rnacentral:misc_RNA from 1 species
AAGUCGUAACAAGGUUUUGCUAAGCAACAGUCCUUCUGUAGCAGAGCUUAACGGAGACCUUGCACCCGAGAGGGGGAGGCGACUAUAAAUAAGCUUCAGCGCAAGUCAGCACUGCUGGCAACACAAUCGAAUUGCGGGGACGCUUUAAAGCCUACCGGUACCAACCACUCUUACGGGGUGGGGCGAGCACGCUCGAGGUCACAAUCUGGUAGGAUGCCACAAUAAGCAAUCCGCAGCGGUGCGAGCCGUCCACAGACUAAGUGGUUGUGGGUAG